GUGACGUCUCUUCUCUGCAGAAUCAUUACGGUGGGCUGGACGGCGGUCACUACACUGCUUACUGUAAGAACCCUCUCAAGCAGCGCUGGUUCAAGUUUGACGAUCACGAGGUGUCCGACAUCUCCGCCUCCUCCGUCCGAACGGCCGCCGCCUACAUCUUCUUCUACUCCUCUCUAUGAGGGACAGCCACAGGUCGUCACCAUGCUGUGGGCGGAGCUAAAGCCCUUUGCGUGAGGACUGAUGGACACUUCUGCUGAGGGAACGCCCCUCCCUCUCUCUCUCUCUCUCUGUGUCUCUCUCUCUCUCUCAGCGGGUGGUUCAGUGGCGUCUGUAUUCCUGUAGCAGGAGUCUGAACACAGGAGCCUCGGCCUGCUCUGGACUUGAUGUCACUUAGACGGACCGUGUGAGAUUAGACGUCCAUAUAAGCGCACUAUAAUCCAAACCGCUCAUUAGACAUGCACCUGCUGCUUAGGGAGACGCGUUUCAUUUAUUUAUACAGUGAUCAAAUAUAACCAAAUAUAACUCUGGAUGAGAAAAUCCAGCUGUUGGCUAACAAGAAAUCACUCACAAACCCACUCGUCCUUGUUCACACGUAGUAAAGCGCAGCUUGGGCCCUGCUCUGUAGGCUAGUGUUCAGGGAUCCGCUAAUCACAGCAGUGCAAUAACCCUCUUGACCGAUGGUCAGCAUUAGCAGUAGGUCUGAUGCCAUCAUCAUAUCACACAGCUGUCUCUCUGAACUAAUACACUGUGGCAUGAGCUUCUGACUGAUUCUCUCAUCUGGUUUCUUAUAAUAUUAAGCGCAUUCUUUAAAUCCAUGCAUUAGCCUAUAAGCCUUAUACAUGCAUAAAUAAACAGACGUAACACA